rnacentral:rRNA from 1 species
AGCGAACGCUGGCGGCAGGCCUAACACAUGCAAGUCGAACGGAUCCUUCGGGAUUAGUGGCGGACGGGUGAGUAACACGUGGGAACGUGCCCUUUGGUUCGGAACAACUCAGGGAAACUUGAGCUAAUACCGGAUGUGCCCUUCGGGGGAAAGAUUUAUCGCCAUUGGAGCGGCCCGCGUCUGAUUAGCUAGUUGGUGAGGUAACGGCCCACCAAGGCGACGAUCAGUAGCUGGUCUGAGAGGAUGAUCAGCCACACUGGGACUGAGACACGGCCCAGACUCCUACGGGAGGCAGCAGUGGGGAAUCUUGCGCAAUGGGCGAAAGCCUGACGCAGCCAUGCCGCGUGAAUGAUGAAGGUCUUAGGAUUGCAAAAUUCUUUCAGCGGGGACGAUAAUGACGGUACCCGCAGAAGAAGCUCCGGCUAACUUCGUG